rnacentral:snRNA from 1 species
AUACUUACCUGGCAGGGGAGACACCAUGAUCAAGAAGGCGGUUCACCCAGGGCGAGGCUCGUCCAUUGCACUCCGGCCGUGCUGACCCUGCGAUUCCCAAAUGUGGGAAUCUCGACUGCAUAAUUUAUGGUAGUGGGGACUGUUCUUUU